CGCCGCGUGCCCGAGCGCGGGACCGGGGGCGCCCCGAGCCCGGGCCUCACAAAGGGAGCGGAAGGCCGGAGCCCCGGGCCUUCAGGGCGGCCGCUCUCCUGCGGAGUCGAAGCCGGGAACCGAACCCUCGCUCGCUGCGGUGGCGGAGGUGCAGACUGAAAUCGGGAGACUAGUUUUCACUUGGGCUCAGAUGCUGCUUUGCGUUAUGAAAUAAAACUUAGCUGAGAGUUGGAGGGAAGGGGGUUGGUCUAAUGAGCUUGAACGGACACCGCAGUUCCUCUCUCCUUCCUCCUGCAGACACACAGGCGCAAGCUGUGCGGCAGUUCGUCACCUGUCUUUCCUGCUGAUAAUUUGAGACUGAGACCCAAAUAGGAGAAGUAACAAGGGAAGUGAAGAGAGAUCCGGAGGGGAAUGCGCACUUGGAUUAGGGGUCUGCACGUCUGGACCCGGCUUCCCCCAUCCCACCCACUCCCUGUGAUUUCCCGUUUGCCCCUCACGGAACUGCUGAGCGGACGCAAAGACGGGUCUAGGAUGCAUGUGUGUAAAAACGGCCUGGAAGCUAUCGAGUCUCUACAGAUCCAAGGUGACCAUUUGGGAAAAGUGUCCUGUCCGCCUCCACUACGUCAUUAGCAUGUGUAUCCUCCUUUGACUUCCCUGGAUCCCCCAAAUGAAGACCACCACAGAAUGCUUUCCUUCCUUUCCUGCAACAACCAGCUAUCUAUGGGCACAUGCGCAGAAUCGUGUGUCUAGAAGAUUCCUCACUGAAGCACUAUUCGUGGUAGCAAAAGAUUGGAAACAGCCCAUCAAGAAUGUCCAUCAUGGGGCUUCCCUGGUGGCGCAGUGGUUGAGAGUCUGCCUGCUAAUGCAGGGGACACGGGUUCGAGCCCUGGUCUGGGAGGAUCCCACAUGCCGCGGAGCGACUAAGCCCGUGAGCCACAACUACUGAGCCUGCGCGUCUGGAGCCUGUGCCCCGCAACGGGAGGGGCCGCGAUAGUGAAAGGCCCGCGCACCGCGAUGAAGAGCGGUCCCCGCACCGCAAUGAAGAGUGGCCCCCGCUUGCCGCAACUGGAGAAAGCCCUCGCACGAACCGAAGACCCAACACAGCCAAAAAUAAAUAAAUAAAUAAAUAAUAAAAAAACCCUUGCUUUAAAAAAAAAAUAAAAAAAAAAAAGAAU